rnacentral:rRNA from 1 species
UACAGAGGGUGCAAGCGUUGCUCGGAAUCAUUGGGCGUAAAGAGCUCGUAGGCGGUUCGGUAAGUCAGCUGUGAAAUCUCCACGCUCAACGUGGAGGGGUCAGCUGAUACUGCCGUGACUUGAGUCUGGUAGGGGAGUGCGGAAUUCCCGGUGUAGCGGUGAAAUGCGCAGAUAUCGGGAGGAACACCAGUGGCGAAGGCGGCACUCUGGGCCAGUACUGACGCUGAGGAGCGAAAGCGUGGGGAGCGAACAGG